GCCUACGGGAGGCAGCAGUGAGGAAUCUUCCACAAUGGGCGAAAGCCUGAUGGAGCAACGCCGCGUGCAGGAUGAAGGCCUUCGGGUUGUAAACUGCUUUUAUAAGUGAAGAAUAUGACGGUAACUUAUGAAUAAGCACCGGCUAACUACGUGCCAGCAGCCGCGGUAAU
rnacentral:rRNA from 1 species